rnacentral:misc_RNA from 1 species
GAUGAAGAACGCAGCGAAAUGCGAUACUUGGUGUGAAUUGCAGAAUCCCGUGAACCAUCGAGUCUUUGAACGCAAGUUGCGCCUCAAGCCAUUAGGUUGAGGGCACGUCUGCCUGGGCGUCACAUAUCGUUGCCUGAUGCCAGUUUCCUCGUGAUGGGUGACUGUGCAGGGCGAAUGAUGGCUUCCCGUGAGCAUUGUUGCCUCAUGGUUGGUUGAAAAUUGAGUCCUUGGUAGGGAGCGCCGUGAUAGAUGGUGGUUGAGUGACGAACGAGACCCAAUCAUGUGAGACCCCUACCGAAUUUGGCCUUCAUGACCCACAUGCGUCUUUGGAACGCUCAUGACGAGACCUCAGGUCAGGCGGGGCUACCCGCUGAGUUUAAGCAUAUCACUAAGCGGAGGA